rnacentral:rRNA from 1 species
ACGAGAACGUUUCAGCUUGCUGAAACUAGUAAAGUGGCGCACGGGUGAGUAACGCGUGGGUAAUCUACUCCAAAUUGGGGAUAACAUUGCGAAAGCGAUGCUAAUACCGAAUGAUAUCUCAAAACUUCGGUUUUUGAGAUCAAAGGUGGCCGCUCCUUGGAAGCUACUGUUAGGAGAUGAGCCCGCGUACCAUUAGCUUGUUGGUAGGGUAAUGGCCUACCAAGGCAACGAUGGUUAGCUGGUCUGAGAGGAUGAUCAGCCACACUGGAACUGACACACGGUCCAGACUCCUACGGGAGGCAGCAGUGAGGAAUUUUGCGCAAUGGGGGAAACCCUGACGCAGCAACGCCGCGUGAGUGAUGAAGGCCUUCGGGUCGUAAAGCUCUGUCAAGUGGGAAGAACCUGCCCUGUGCUAAUAUCACCGGGCACUGACGGUACCACUGAAGGAAGCACCGGCUAACUCCGUG